rnacentral:misc_RNA from 1 species
UGUCUGUGCCUGAAACUGACAUUUAUGGAUUGAUGUUUGACUAUUAAAAAUACUCAUUUGCACUAUAAGUUAGGGAAGCAGAAUCUUUUAAUUGUUUCAUUCUCUGAGGACAGAAUAUAAAAACGCAUUUUCAGGAAGUUCUUUAAUGAUAAACAUAAUAAAGUGAAGUUAGGUUGAUUUUGCAAGUCAAUCAUUGCAAGCUACAAAAGAACUACUUGAGAAGAAAGUGAGGCUAAAAAUGAUACGGUUUUCAGAUACUGCUGACAUUAGAAUUACCAG